AGUGAACGCUGGCGGUAGGCCUAACACAUGCAAGUCGAACGGCAGCACAGUAAGAGCUUGCUCUUACGGGUGGCGAGUGGCGGACGGGUGAGGAAUACAUCGGAAUCUACUUUUUCGUGGGGGAUAACGUAGGGAAACUUACGCUAAUACCGCAUACGACCUACGGGUGGAAGCAGGGGAUCUUCGGACCUUGCGCGAUUGAAUGAGCCGAUGUCGGAUUAGCUAGUUGGCGGGGUAAAGGCCCACCAAGGCGACGAUCCGUAGCUGGUCUGAGAGGAUGAUCAGCCACACUGGAACUGAGACACGGUCCAGACUCCUACGGGAGGCAGCAGUGGGGAAUAUUGGACAGUGGGCGCAAGCCUGAUCCAGCCAUACCGCGUGGGUGAAGAAGGCCUUCGGGUUGUAAAGCCCUUUUGUUGGGAAAGAAAAGCAGCAGGUUAAUACCCCGCUGUUCUGACGGUACCCAAAGAAUAAGCACCGGCUAACUUCGUG
rnacentral:rRNA from 1 species